rnacentral:rRNA from 1 species
UGGGCGUUAAGUUGCAGGGUAUAGACCCGAAACCCGGUGAUCUAGCCAUGGGCAGGUUGAAGGUUGGGUAACACUAACUGGAGGACCGAACCGACUAAUGUUGAAAAAUUAGCGGAUGACCUGUGGCUGGGGGUGAAAGGCCAAUCAAACCGGGAGAUAGCUGGUUCUCCCCGAAAGCUAUUUAGGUAGCGCCUCGUGAAUUCAUCUCCGGGGGUAGAGCACUGUUUCGGCUAGGGGGCCAUCCCGGCUUACCAACCCGAUGCAAACUGCGAAUACCGGAGAAUGUUAUCACGGGAGACACACGGCGGGUGCUAACGUCCGUCGUGAAGAGGGAAACAACCCAGACCGCCAGCUAAGGUCCCAAAGUCAUGGUUAAGUGGGAAACGAUGUGGGAAGGCCCAGACAGCCAGGAUGUUGGCUUAGAAGCAGCCAUCAUUUAAAGAAAGCGUAAUAGCUCACUGGUCGAGUCGGCCUGCGCGGAAGAUGUAACGGGGCUAAACCAUGCACCGAAGCUGCGGCAGCGACACUGUGUGUUGUUGGGUAGGGGAGCGUUCUGUAAGCCUGUGAAGGUGUGUCGUGAGGCAUGCUGGAGGUAUCAGAAGUGCGAAUGCUGACAUAAGUAACGAUAAAGCGGGUGAAAAGCCCGCUCGCCGGAAGACCAAGGGUUCCUGUCCAACGUUAAUCGGGGCAGGGUGAGUCGACCCCUAAGGCGAGGCCGAAAGGCGUAGUCGAUGGGAAACGGGUUAAUAUUCCCGUACUUGGUGUUACUGCGAAGGGGGGACGGAGAAGGCUAUGUUGGCCGGGCGACGGUUGUCCCGGUUUAAGCGUGUAGGUGUGUGUUCCAGGUAAAUCCGGUUCACUUUAACACUGAGGCGUGACGACGAGGCACUACGGUGCUGAAGCAACAAAUGCCCUGCUUCCAGGAAAAGCCUCUAAGCAUCAGGUAACAUCAAAUCGUACCCCAAACCGACACAGGUGGUCAGGUAGAGAAUACCAAGGCGCUUGAGAGAACUCGGGUGAAGGAACUAGGCAAAAUGGUGCCGUAACUUCGGGAGAAGGCACGCUGACACGUAGGUGAAGUGAUUUACUCAUGGAGCUGAAGUCAGUCGAAGAUACCAGCUGGCUGCAACUGUUUAUUAAAAACACAGCACUGUGCAAACACGAAAGUGGACGUAUACGGUGUGACGCCUGCCCGGUGCCGGAAGGUUAAUUGAUGGGGUCAGCGCAAGCGAAGCUCCUGAUCGAAGCCCCGGUAAACGGCGGCCGUAACUAUAACGGUCCUAAGGUAGCGAAAUUCCUUGUCGGGUAAGUUCCGACCUGCACGAAUGGCGUAAUGAUGGCCAGGCUGUCUCCACCCGAGACUCAGUGAAAUUGAACUCGCUGUGAAGAUGCAGUGUACCCGCGGCAAGACGGAAAGACCCCGUGAACCUUUACUAUAGCUUGACACUGAACAUUGAGCCUUGAUGUGUAGGAUAGGUGGGAGGCUUUGAAGUGUGGACGCCAGUCUGCAUGGAGCCGACCUUGAAAUACCACCCUUUAAUGUUUGAUGUUCUAACGUGGACCCGUUACCCGGGUUGCGGACAGUGUCUGGUGGGUAGUUUGACUGGGGCGGUCUCCUCCUAAAGAGUAACGGAGGAGCACGAAGGUUGGCUAAUCCUGGUCGGACAUCAGGAGGUUAGUGCAAUGGCAUAAGCCAGCUUGACUGCGAGCGUGACGGCGCGAGCAGGUGCGAAAGCAGGUCAUAGUGAUCCGGUGGUUCUGAAUGGAAGGGCCAUCGCUCAACGGAUAAAAGGUACUCCGGGGAUAACAGGCUGAUACCGCCCAAGAGUUCAUAUCGACGGCGGUGUUUGGCACCUCGAUGUCGGCUCAUCACAUCCUGGGGCUGAAGUAGGUCCCAAGGGUAUGGCUGUUCGCCAUUUAAAGUGGUACGCGAGCUGGGUUUAGAACGUCGUGAGACAGUUCGGUCCCUAUCUGCCGUGGGCGCUGGAGAACUGAGGGGGGCUGCUCCUAGUACGAGAGGACCGGAGUGGACGCAUCACUGGUGUUCGGGUUGUCAUGCCAAUGGCACUGCCCGGUAGCUAAAUUCGGAAGAGAUAAGUGCUGAAAGCAUCUAAGCACGAAACUUGCCCCGAGAUGAGUUCUCCCUGAGACUUAGAGUCUCCUGAAGGAACGUUGAAGACGACGACGUUGAUAGGCCGGGUGUGUAAGCGCAGCGAUGCGUUGAGCUAACCGGUAC